GGAGAGGUGGCCGAGCGGUCGAAGGCGCUCCCCUGCUAAGGGAGUAAACCGUUAACGCGGUUUCGAGGGUUCGAAUCCCUCCCUCUCCG
rnacentral:tRNA from 1 species